CUACGGGCCGCUGCAGUGGGGAAUAUUGCACAAUGGAGGAAACUCUGAUGCAGCAACGCCGCGUGGAGGAUGACACUUUUCGGAGCGUAAACUCCUUUUAUAUAGGAAGAAGAUGACGGUACUAUAUGAAUAAGCGCCGGCUAACUCCGUGCCAGCAGCCGCGGUAAUAUGGAGGGCGCAAGCGUUACUCGGAAUCACUGGGCGUAAAGAGCGUGUAGGCGGAUUAAAAAGUCAGAAGUGAAAUCCUAUAGCUUAACUAUAGAACUGCUUCUGAAACUCUUAAUCUAGAAUAUGGGAGAGGUAGAUGGAAUUUCUGGUGUAGGGGUAAAAUCCGUAGAGAUCAGAAGGAAUACCGAUUGCGAAGCCGAUCUACUAGAACAUUAUUGACGCUGAGACGCGAAAGCGUGGGGAGCAAACAGGAUUAGAUACCCCAGUAGUC
rnacentral:rRNA from 1 species